AUAAUGAAUGACUUAAUGGACCUCAAACCCUAGCUGCAUAUAUAUAUAAACCCAAAUGGACCCGGCCCGGUCCGGUCCAAUAUUUAAUUAAUCCAAUUAAUCAAACCCGGUCCGUGAAUUAAUUAAUCUAAUUAAUUAAUUCGGGAUUAUAAAUAAGAAAAUCAAUUAAUUAAUUUAUCCAACGAUUGUUAAAUUAAUCAAUUAACAAUUUGCAGUCUUCCAAUUCUCUUUUGUGUGCGACCCAUUAGGUUCCCGACCACGAUGC
rnacentral:lncRNA from 1 species